AGACGUAAGAAAAAUUACCAAUUUGACCCUUAGUCCCAGUGUUAUAUUUGGUUAUUUACUAAAAUCUCCUUUUGGUGGAGAAGGGUGGAUUUUUAGUGUAGAUGAUUUAGAAGAUAUAAUUGGUGGGCAUGUAUGGUCUAGUACUCAAG